AUUGAACGCUGGCGGCAGGCCUAACACAUGCAAGUCGAGCGAGCGGCGGACGGGUGAGUAAUGUCUGGGAAACUGCCCGAUGGAGGGGGAUAACUACUGGAAACGGUAGCUAAUACCGCAUACCCUCAGAUGUGCCCAGAUGGGAUUCUCUAGUAGGGGGGGUAAUGGCUCACCUAGGCGACGAUCCCUAGCUGGUCUGAGAGGAGGACCAGCCACACUGGAACUGAGACACGGUCCAGACUCCGACGGGAGGCAGCAGUGGGGAAUAUUGCACAAUGGGCGCAAGCCUGAUACAGCCAUGCCGCGUGUAUGAAGAAGGCCUUCGGGUUGUAAAGCACUUUCAGCGGGGAGGCGUUACCCGCAGAAGAAGCACCGGCUAACUCCGUGCCAGCCGCCGCGGUAAUUC
rnacentral:rRNA from 1 species